rnacentral:siRNA from 1 species
AAACGCAGAGCGGUGUGUGGG